GCUUUCACGGAGCUGGUAGUCCAGCUGGCUGGGUUCUGGGUUCCAGUGAAACUGCAGAGAAGAAGAACUGCCUUUCAACUUUCUGCUUCUCAGAAAGGCAUUAAAAAUACAGUUCAUCUUCACCUCAUUCAAUGAAAAGAUGUGCCCCAGAUGUGUAACAUAACUGGACCGAGGUCACACAGCAAGCUCAAAGCUGCUCCCGGCUAGAACAUAAGUUUCCUACUCCCUUUCCAGACUUCGCUUACACCACUACUAUAUAGGAGAUGUCAUUGUGGUCUAAGAGAUGUUGGGGAAUGAAGGACUCAUAAUCAUGGAAAUGCCAUGAUCCCCUGAAUCUCCCUCACCAGUUCCUAUAGACCAAGAUUACCCAGGGCCUCUGUGUCUCCAGUGUGUUGCAGAAAGAAGCCAACAAAGCUAACCUUUGCCAAAAGGUGUCACAAUUUUAUAGAUGUGGCUACUGAGACUCAAAGGAACUGAGAAAUGUGUCUGAGCUAAUACAUGGCACUGGUUCUUAUAUAACCUGCAAUUUCCUCUCUGACACCCAUGCUGCCUUUGCAUGUGAUAAGACCCCACAGCUUAAAGACUGAGCUGGACUCCCUCCCAUAGGCCUCAGCACAAGGUAAUUAGUAGAUGAACACUUUCCAUGACCUGCAAAGAAUGUAAGGUUUCCUUUACAACAGGCUCACCUUUUCUGAAGACACGGGUUUUCUCUCUGUGUGUCUGAGACCUUCCUGUGUGAAUAAAUGUUCCUCCAGCUAGUGUUCAAAGUUUCCUUAGAGAAGUCCAAAGCACAGAGAGGCGUCUGUUGGAUCUCUAAGUCCCCAAA